rnacentral:rRNA from 1 species
AACGUAGGAGACAAACGUUAUCCGGAGUUACUGGGCGUAAAGGGCGCGUAGGCGGUCAGCACAAGUCAGUUGUGAAAUCUCCGGGCUUAACUCGGAAAGGUCAACUGAUACUGUGCGACUAGAGUGCAGAAGGGGCAACUGGAAUUCUCGGUGUAGCGGUGAAAUGCGUAGAUAUCGAGAGGAACACCUGCGGCGAAGGCGGGUUGCUGGGCUGACACUGACGCUGAGGCGCGAAAGCCAGGGGAGCGAACGGG